GUUUAAAAUACAGGAAGUGACGUUUGACGACGAUGUAACGCUUUGGUUAAUAAACAACACUUUCGAAGAUGAUUUUGCAACGCUUUUGAACGUUAGCUAAUUCAAAUUAGCAGAGUGUUUUAUUUAUUUGUUUAGCUAACGCAUCAUAAAGAUUUAAAACAAUGUAGAAUGGGAAAACGGGUAUAUUUGUUUUGCUAUGAAGCGUCUGGUGCUAGCUAGCUAGCUUAUCACAACAACUGGAUGGCCUUUGUUUUUCAUGGGUGUUUUUCAGCCAGUGCUGACCAGCGAACUAGUCUUUUCGCCUGUCAACAUCCCUGGAUUUUCUAAAGAUGAAGAGAAAAGUGGCUCGAUUACGGUUAAGUCCAAAUGAAGAAGCGCAACUCAUUCGAGAUGAACACGAAAGGAGAAGGAAGCUGUGAAUAGAACAGGUGCGGGAACAGGAGCGGUAUAUCGCCCUGCAAAUCCGCACGGAGGUGCGGCAGCGACGGGAGCGCGAGCUGCAGAACCUGGCGCAGGAGUUGAAGGAGGAGUGGGAGCGACAACAGAGGGAGAAACAGGAGACCCUGCAAAAGUUAUAUCAGGACAAUCUCCGAGUUUUGGGAGAGGGACAUAGAAGUGCCAAAGAAAAUAAGCCUGACUGUGAGGCAAUUGCACAGAGAAAUUAGGGGAAUAACGUUCGGCAGAUGAGCGCUAUCGAGACGCCAUCAAACAGCUCAAAUCACAGAGACAGAAAGGAGGAGGAGCAAAAUCGUUUUAUUGAGGCUAGGAAGAAGGCCAUACAAGUGGAGAAGGAGAGGGCAGCAACUGUGGCCAACCUCCCAUCCCUUCCACCCAACCCAAUUGAGAAUAUUGAGUCAAGGAAGCUACCUGGAGUGAAGAAAUCGGACAGAGAUGCCUUCUCUGUGACCCACUAUCACAUGCCAGAGACUGCAGUGGACAGGGAAGUUGACAGUACAGCCAAAGGCAUGGGAGGUGGCAGAGGAGGAGGUGCGGCGCCUGCAGGAGCUAGAACGGGAGGAGCAGAGGGAGAGACGGGAGCAGCUGGAGAAAGCUCGUCUUAGGGGCAACCACGCGCUGAGGAGGGAACGGCUCACACAGGACCGAGAGUGCCUCCUGGUGGAGCUGGAACACAUGCAUCAGACAGACCUGUUGAGGCGCAGGCAGAUGAUGGCUCAGAUGCCUGCCCAGAUCUUCUAGCUGCUCUACAAGAGACAGGAGAUGAGGGAGGACUGGCAGAGGGACAUGGAGUUCACCUUUGAGGACAUGUACACUGGAGAGAGUAGAGUGAAAGGUGACCUGGUGCUGCAGCUGGUCCCAGAGCCUCUCCCAGCUGUGUCCACUGGCAGCCAGGAUGAACACCUAGACCUGACCCUGGAGGAGGCCACUCCUGACCUUACACCCUCGGCUGGGGCAGAGGAACAACCGGAUGAAGAACCAUCCAGGCCUCUAGGUGGUGCUCCCAGACAGGCCUUGAAGAAGCUACUGACCCGUGUCAGGUCACAGAGAGACCAGUGGAGCUACCGGAGGCUGGUUGACCCCACAUCUGACUGCCAAACUAUUCAGACAGCAGAGCGCGACACGACCUCAGAUGGUACGACCAUUGAGUCAGGCUUUCUGGCCAGCGAAAAGCAGGGCUGACCGUUGACCACUAGUCCCAGACUCCCUGACCCCUCUCAGCCAGCACAAGCUAUAGAGACAAUAGAGGACUCCAUAGUAGCUGGUACCCUGCUCCAUCCUGAUAAACAAGCCAUCAAGAUCCACACAUUUAAACUGAGAGGAAGAGAAGGGAGGAGGAGCUAGAGAGGCAGGAGCAGAUUGCCCUGCUACAGGAUUUAGGGGAGAAGAAGAGCAAGCUGGAGCUACUGCAGGAGGCCCAGGAAGAGAGGGAGCAGCUGCAGACGGCCAUGACCCAAGACACUGCUGCUGCAUCUGGAACACUGAAAACACCAGCCCAGGACGUCAGCCCUGCUGCUCCAUCUCCUGAGUCUACUAUACACUCAGCUGCUGAGGAUGACCACCCCAGGAGAAUCAGAGAGUAUCAGCAGCGUCUCUUAGACCAGAACAGGCUUCAUAAGCAGUCAGUGGAAGAGUCUCACCGGCGUCUGGAAGAGUACCAACACACGCUAAGAAACCGCUAUUCUGGUGUAACUACGGCAACAUGUCUCCCUCCUGGUACCACAGCCCGUCCUCUACCACACUUUAAAGGAGGAAUCAUUCCCCCGGUAGUGCCACUAGAACUCCCCUCUGGCUCCCCUGUCUCCCUGUAGCACUUAGUACCCACUCUAGAGCUCACACCCCUCUGGACCUCUCCACACGGGAGCCCUCCAUCUUGGCUCAAACUCUCUUCCUUCCUGGCGCAACAGUCUGCUCGCAUAUCAACUCCAGGGCCUCACCAGUGCAGCUCGAACCCACCGCUUAAAGCCUAAGAGACCAAAGAGCAGGUGUUUCUGCUUGGCUGGCGGACAAUGUGUUUAGUAGGGUCACAGAGGACCUCCCUGAGAAGCUACCUGGCACCUCUACCUCGUUGGACCCCCAGUCCUACAGACCACAUCCUGUUUCCCUCCACUCUACUCCACGCAUCCCACUCCCAUCAACAGCUGACUCCAUCCCAGCCAUUAGCCCAACCCUUUGAGAAGAGUCAGCUACUCUCCCUGGGGAGGCCCCGGUGAAGCCUGGGCCUGUCCUGUGGGCCUCAGCCAGGUCUGGGGAAGAGGUGGAGAGGCAGAGGCAGGAGAUACGUGAGGCCCAGAGGGAGCAGAGGGAAGAACGGAGAUGGCUGGAGGAAGAGCAGAGGAGGAGACAGAGGGAGGUGUUAGACACUGCUCACUGCUGACGACACACAGCCUGGUUCAGAGAUCGCUGAUGGUUUGGGGUCAAAGGUCCUGGGGUCAGAGUGUGUCCAUCUGAUUGCAGCUCUGCUCAGGGCCAUCGGAGUCCAAUGGGCAAACAUCAUCAUCUGUAGAAGCUAAUCAGAGCCAAGACAACACACUCAAUGUCCAGAGUUCACACCCAGACAGACCCGCCCCUCACCAACUUCCCCAACCACCACCCCCGAGCAGCCAAACCCCUGGUGGCCUGCGCCAGGCUGGUCGUCAUGGUGAUGACAGAGCAGCAUGAGCUCAGGCCUGAUCACAGGUCCAGAAGUGAGUGUGAGGCUGUCUCGUAUUGAAAGGGCAUUUCCAGAAGAACAGGACCCCUUGGCCCACUCUGAGAGAGGUCACUCCAGCACCUCUGUGUUCAGUGCAGGGGAACACACAGCUGGGAGUGAGACAUUAACCAGGUCUGGUAGAUCCAGCAAGCUAUCCUGGAGAGAGAGAGAUUACAGCUGGAGGCUGGUGCCUCUCCUGAACCUGUUUUGUCCAGUUGGAGAUCCUGUCCUUCCAGUCAGCCGGUAGACCCUCAGAACCAGACUACCUGUCUUCCACCACCAUCUCUUCUGGCAGCUUCGCCACCACUGACCCUGAACACACCUCCACCAAAAGUGUGUGUGUGUGUGACUUGUUUAUAAGCCUAAUCAAUUGAGUAUCUAUCCAGGCCAGUCAUGUCAGAAAUUCUAUGUGAUAAAUGAUAGUUGCAUUUAAAAUGGAGAAAUCUAAUCCUCUGUUUUAUUCCCCACCCCCAUAAGACUCUUCCCUGCUCUUGGCUGGGUUUAGAAGAGGGAAGAAAUCAUCGGUCAAUGGCUCCUCUUCAUGAAGACACAGUUCCUGUAGAGACGUAUCUGGUCCUGGGUCUCCCAUCUCAGACUCACUCCUACACAGCAGCAGUAUCCAGCGCAUCAUAGACAAAUACACCCGGGAGCUCAACCUCUCUCUCAGUUCUGCUGGGAACCAGAUGGGAGCUGAUGGGUCUAACUCCCUAGGCUGGGUGGAUCUGAGAGGCUCAGGCCAGACAGGAGUGUCAUCUGACCCAGAGGGAGCCCCUGAAGCCCAUUCAUUGAGCAGCUCCUUUCUCCCUGGACUGGAACUUCUGCCACACUACCAGUGCCUGCAACGCUCUGGCACCAGCUCCCAGGAAGCAGACAGGACUGGGGCCUCCGACUCCUUCCACCCCCUCCUGGCUGAAGUCACACACAACAAGACAGCUGAACCCUCCAUGACCUUUCACCUUCCAGAAGAGGAAGUGGAGGGGCUAUGUUCCCACGAAGAAGAAAGUGACCAUGAAGAACCUGCAGGGGACCUUGAACUCUCUGCAUGCUCAGUUGAGUUUGUGGACGACACUUGGUCUGUCACCUCUGACCCCCCCCCUCCUGAGUGCCUGAGAGGAGGGGAGGAACCACCUCAGCCCUCGCCCGCCCUGCACGACUCCUUGUACCAGCUGACCAUGUCCCAGUGCCUCCCUCAUAACUCUGCUCUGGAUGUAUCCCCAGGAGCAGAGGUGGGGGGGUCUGGCAGCAUGUUCCCUCUCUCUGUGAAGAUGUCCCCACUUUGGACAAGCCACUUGAAGGCGGGGACACUGAUAUGGAGAGCACACCAGCACCUCAGACAGUUGACCAAUGAGGUGCUAUUACCAUUAAGGACCUGGGUGCAGGAGAGCCGGAUGCCCAGCUAUGUUCAGAGUCAAAGAUCAGCCCUCCCAUCUGGGAGAGAAUAAUGGUGGGCAGUGUGAAGGGGAUAAUGGACGAUUCCAUGCUGACCCUGAUGAGCCUGACAGACACCACAUUAAAGGACCACGGACUCGCUGAGGAAGGAGAGAUGGAUGAGGUAUCAGACCAAUAAGGCAUUGUGGAAAAGGAAUCAGAGUGGACAGUGUUGCCAGAGGAGGACGCCAGCCUACAGGACAACCCCCUCUCAUGCAGUAAUGCUGCUGGAGUUCCAGUCGUGUCCCAGCGUGAAUCUACAGGAGGCCUUCCAGCAGAAACGCAGAGCCCUGAUCCAGAGGUCUGCCCGCAGGGUGGAGGAGAUUCAGGCCAAGACGUCUGAAGACAAAGCAAACACCAGGGCCCAGUCUGAAACCACUGAGACCAGGGCCAACACAACCACCAGGGCCCAGUCUGACCCAACCACUGUUCAGUCAUCCACUACUAAACCCAGGAGGGAGGGGAGGAGUGCAGAGUCAACCCAUGCAGGAGUGGAUUCCAAGCAGAAAAAGCAACAGCCAAAGCUCCAAACUCCCUUGCAGCCUCCCAUGCUAGCCAAGCUGAAGAAGGUUGGGGAGGUGAGGAUCAGCACUCCUGAGAUGAGGAUACAGGAUGUGGCUGACAUGCGCCAGAGAACAGAGAGGUUGUACAGCCGACUAGAUGAGGUAAAGCUUCAGGAGGAGGUCAGGAGCAGACAGGAGGCAUAUGCCAAAAACGGGAGAAGGCCAAAGAGUUUCACAAGGUAACAUUUAAAAUACCCCAAUUUUUAAAGGAAUUAAACAUGAUACUGUAUCUGGCAUUACUGUAUAUUGAAUUAAUUGAAAGUUGAAGUGGAUUGAGAUACAUUAGUCAGUUUGAAUUGAUAUGAAUUCUGUUUUCUCUCUUCACAGAAGCUACGGGCCAAGCAGUCUCCGCAAUGAUACUGAAUAUCAGUUUUAUCUGUUGUCGUGUGUUCUGUGUUUGCACUUAUUUUGUACUUACAUGUGUUUUUGUACAGUUUAAUCAGUAAUGUAAAAUAUAUUUUACGAGUGUGUAUAUAAUCUGCGUUCAGUCUAUUCAUCACAAUUUACUGUGUUCACACAACAAAGGCAGCCAGUGCACUAUUGCACCUUGAAUGCUGGCGGUACACCCAUUGCAUUAUGAGAAUGUUAUGUUGCCUGUAAAAAUAUUUUAGUUUCAGGUUUUUAUAACCAAUAAAGUUGUUUGUUGCUGAUUUUGCCUAUCCUUAUAAGUUGUAUUAUGGGAGGCCACUUGACCUGAAAAGAUUGGAAAACGUCUAGUCUCAUAGACGUAAGCUAAUGUUAACGUUAGCUAGAAACUAACUUUAGCCAACACUCAUUGAUGCAAUUUAGCUACUUACAGUAACG
rnacentral:lncRNA from 1 species